rnacentral:rRNA from 1 species
UACGGGGGGGGGCGAAGCGUUGUUUCGGAAUUAUUGGGCGUAAAAGAGCUCGUAGGCGGUUUGUCGCGUCUGCCGUGAAAGUCCGGGGCUCAACUCCGGAUCUGCGGUGGGUACGGGCAGACUAGAGUGAUGUAGGGGGAGACUGGAAUUCCUGGUGUAGCGGUGAAAUGCGCAGAUAUCAGGAGGAACACCGAUGGCGAAGGCAGGUCUCUGGGCAUUAACUGACGCUGAGGAGCGAAAGCAUGGGGAGCGAACAGG